rnacentral:rRNA from 1 species
UGGGGAAUUUUGCACAAUGGGGGAAACCCUGAUGCAGCGACGCCGCGUGAUUUAGAAGGCCUUCGGGUUGUAAAAAUCUUUUCUAUGGGAAGAAAAUGACAGUACCAUAGGACUAAGGACCGGCUAAUUACGUGCCAGCAGCCGCGGUAAUACGUAAGGUCCGAGCGUUGUCCGGAAUCAUUGGGCGUAAAGGGUACGUAGGCGGGUAAGCAAGUUAGAAGUGAAAUCCUAUAGCUCAACUAUAGUAAGCUUUUAAAACAGCUCAUCUUGAAGUAUGGAAGGGAAAGUGGAAGUCCUAGUAUAGAAGUGAAAUGCGCAGAUAUUAGGAGGAAUACAGGUAGCAAAGGAGACUUCCUAGCCAUAACCUAACACUGAAGUACGAAAGCGUGGGUAGCAAACAGG